ACUCUUCAACCCCCCAAUUCCUUGUUUGAAUUGGGACGGCUUGGAUUCUGAGCGCUGCUGGCCUUUUCGGAGGCGAAGCUCGUUCGUAAUACAUUAGCAACUCAAUUUCGAGUGUUCGGAUUGACUCGGCGUAAUAGACUAUUCGCUGAGGAACUUGCCGCCUUUACGGGCGGUGGCCGAACUUUGAAGUAGAAGCUCAUAAAACUCAAAUUUGAUCAGUCAAAUCACCCUUAAG
rnacentral:misc_RNA from 1 species